GUUUUGGGAUGGCAUCUGACUGGGGGAUUAAAAAAGCUGUCGGAGGUAGGCCCCAUUAUGUAAUCCAGCGCCUCCAUCAUCCCAUGAUCGGCGUUGAUGUCCCUAUUAGUGGUACCUCGUUCAGUGUUUCGAUGCACGAAGCUUGAUGUAAAGCUGGGCUCGUCGUUCUCUCAGGUGACAGAGGAGGCAGCGACAUAGAGCUAUUAGAGUGCUUUCCUUGGCUUCUAGGUUUUUAUAUUUCUAAAACUCUAUUGUUGGAUUUGAUUGGGACGAUGAUAUGUAUUUAUGAGAGGCUCCUGUUUUAUUAUGCUG
rnacentral:misc_RNA from 1 species